GGGGAGUGAGCCUAGGACUUGUUAGGUUGGUGUGCAAGCAGUCAAGAUGUAGUUCCUGUGACUGCAGGUACACCUGACUUUGAGGAAGACCCUGUAGCUGCGUAUUUGGGAUACUACGAUUGAAGCACUCCGCGACAGUCGUAUUGAGUUGGACUAUGGAGUUCACUCUUUUGGGGUAUUUUGUAUAUGGCUAGUGACGUAGGUGUCACAUAUUCUUUUGUGUAGCCAUUCUUUUGUAUCAAUGGGUAAAUGUAAACUUUAAACUGUUAGACAGAUAUAUGGCUCUUUUGUAUGGACCACUAGUUAUUUUUAGA